GACGAACGCUGGCGGCGUGCUUAACACAUGCAAGUCGAACGGAAAGGCCCUGCUUUUGUGGGGUGCUCGAGUGGCGAACGGGUGAGUAACACGUGAGUAACCUGCCCUUGACUUUGGGAUAACUUCAGGAAACUGGGGCUAAUACCGGAUAGGAGCUCCUGCUGCAUGGUGGGGGUUGGAAAGUUUCGGCGGUUGGGGAUGGACUCGCGGCUUAUCAGCUUGUUGGUGGGGUAGUGGCUUACCAAGGCUUUGACGGGUAGCCGGCCUGAGAGGGUGACCGGGCACAAUGGGACUGAGAUACGGACCAGACUCCUACGGGAGGCAGCAGUGGGGAAUAUUGCACAGUGGGCGGGAGCCUGAUGCAGAAACGCCGCGUGCGGGAUGACGGCCUUCGGGUUGUAAACCGCUUUCGCCUGUGACGAAGCGUGAGUGACGGUAAUGGGUAAAGAAGCACCGGCUAACUACGUG
rnacentral:rRNA from 1 species